UGAACUCUCUCCUCUCUCAAGAGUUAACCUGGCUUUCUCGAAUUCUGCUUUAGUUCAAAGCUAUUCUUGUGUGACCUUUUAGAGAUUACCUUUGUUUGUAACUGCGUUACUCCUCUAUCUGAACCACAGUUACCCCAAGCUCGUAACACGAACGAACACGACUUCUCCAACGGGUGGUGUUGUAUUUCACGCUAUGAACAAGGGUUUAAGCAAAAACUCAGUGAGUUUUCUUUAAGGAGGUUUACAGGCAGGCCUUGACUGAAUGGGGGGAAAUCAACUCUGCCCAAGGAAGAACCACAAGGAAUUUCAUCCAGAUGACCAGAUUUAGUUACUCAAGAAAAUUGAAUACCUAGUGAUGGGAAAUUAAAAUUUUCUCCUCACAAGUGAGGACUUAUAUUUCAGAUUUUUGCAUUGGUUAAGUGCUGUUAAAAUGAUUAUUAUUUGCAUCAAAAAGGAAAACCAUAAAAAAGGAUUUAAAAUUUUGUGUUGAAAGUAAAAAGCUAUAUCUUGUGCCUGAAAAUAUAUAUCUGUUAAAAGAAGGUGUAUAAAUCUCUGAUAUUUUACGUAAAUGUCGGUGAAUAAUCCUGAGAGCAAAAGAUGAAAAGUUUUGAAACUUCCCUUCCAGAAGAAUGUAGAUUUUAUUCUAAAAAUAUGAAUGAAAAAAAAAAUUGCUCUUGAUUAUAAGGCUAUAUGGCAAUUGGGCUUGCACUUCAGAUUUUUCCCUUAGUUAAUUGCAGUUAAAAUGAUCAUCACUCAAACCAAAAGAAAACC